CGCGGCCGCCGGGCUGCGCUCGCUGUGUCCAAGGUCGAGGAGGCCAAGAAACUGGCGGGACGAGCAGCCGUGGAGAACCACGUGCAGAACAACCAAGUGCUGGGGAUCGGAAGUGGUUCGACGAUGGUCCAUGCAGUGCAGCGAAUAGCUGAAAGAGUGAAGCAGGAGAAUCUGAACCUCGUCUGCAUUCCUACUUCCUUCCAGGCCCACCAGCUCAUCCUGCAGCAUGGCUUAACCCUCAGUGACCUGGAUCUACACCCAGAGAUUGACCUCGCCUUCGACGGUGCUGAUGAAGUAGAUGCCGACCUCAAUUUCAUCAAGGCCGGAGGAGGCUGCCUGACCCAGGAGAAGAUGGUGGCCGCCUAUGCCAGUCGCUUCAUCGUGAUUGCUGAUUUCAGGAAAGACUCAAAGAACCUCGGGGAUCGGUGGCACAAGGGAAUCCCCAUC